UACGGAGAUGGCAACCGUUGUUCGGAAUCACUGGGCUUAAAGAGUACGUAGGCGGAUACAUAAGUUGGUUGUGAAAGCCCAUGGCUUACCCAUGGAAUAGCAUCCAAAACUGUGUAUCUUGAGUACAGGAGGGGAGAGUGGAACUCCUAGUGGAGCGGUGAAAUGCGUUGAUAUUAGGAGGAACGCCGGUGGCGAAAGCGACUCUCUGGUCUGAGACUGACGCUGAGGUACGAAAGCUAGGGGAGCAAACGGG
rnacentral:rRNA from 1 species